GUACACUCCUGCGGGAGGCAGCAGUGGGGAAUAUUGGACAAUGGGCGCAAGCCUGAUCCAGCCAUGCCGCGUGAGUGAUGAAGGCCCUAGGGUUGUAAAGCUCUUUCACCGGAGAAGAUAAUGACGGUAUCCGGAGAAGAAGCCCCGGCUAACUUCGUGCCAGCAGCCGCGGUAAUACGAAGGGGGCUAGCGUCGUUCGGAAUUACUGGGCGUAAAGCGCACGUAGGCGGAUCGAUCAGUCAGGGGUGAAAUCCCAGGGCUCAACCCUGGAACUGCCUUUGAUACUGUCGAUCUGGAGUAUGGAAGAGGUGAGUGGAAUUCCGAGUGUAGAGGUGAAAUUCGUAGAUAUUCGGAGGAACACCAGUGGCGAAGGCGGCUCACUGGUCCAUUACUGACGCUGAGGUGCGAAAGCGUGGGGAGCAAACAGGAUUAGAAACCCCUGUAGUCCCAUGA
rnacentral:rRNA from 1 species